rnacentral:rRNA from 1 species
UACGAAGGGGGCGAGCGUUGUUCGGAUUUACUGGGCGUAAAGGGCGCGCAGGCGGCUAUCCAAGUCAGGCGUGAAAGCCCCGGGCUUAACCUGGGAACUGCGUCUGGGACUGGGUGGCUAGAGUUCGGGAGAGGAGAGUGGAAUUCCCAGUGUAGAGGUGAAAUUCGUAGAUAUUGGGAAGAACACCGGUGGCGAAGGCGGCUCUCUGGACCGAGACUGACGCUGAGGCGCGAAAGCGUGGGGAUCAAACAGG